GUUGGGCUCACUUCAGCACAUGCUAAAAUUGGAAUGAUACAGAGAAGAUUAGCAUGACCACUGUGCAAGGAUGGCACACAGAUUCAUGAAGCACUCCAUAUUUUC
ensembl:snRNA U6 U6 spliceosomal RNA